rnacentral:rRNA from 1 species
AGAGUUUGAUCAUGGCUCAGGACGAACGCUGGCAGCGUGCUUAAUACAUGCAAGUCGAGCGAGGUUACUGUUUUGGAUCCCUUCGGGGUGAAGAAGCUUUAACCUAGCGGCGGACGGGUGAGUAACGCGUGGGUAACCUACCCCAAAGUCCGGGAUAACAGCGGGAAACCGCUGCUAAUACCGGAUGUCUUUACCUUGGGGCAUCUUGAGGUAAAGAAAGGUAACGCUUUGGGAUGGGCCCGCGUCCCAUUAGCUAGUUGGUGAGGUAACGGCUCACCAAGGCGACGAUGGGUAGCCGGCCUGAGAGGGUGGACGGCCACACUGGGACUGAGACACGGCCCAGACUCCUACGGGAGGCAGCAGUAGGGAAUAUUGCGCAAUGGACGGAAGUCUGACGCAGCGACGCCGCGUGAGCGAUGAAGGUCUUCGGAUCGUAAAGCUCUGUCCUUGGGGAAGAAGGCGAAAGCUUGACGGUACCCAAGAAGAAAGCCCCGGCUAACUACGUGCCAGCAGCCGCGGUAAUACGUAGGGGGCGAGCGUUGUCCGGAAUUACUGGGCGUAAAGGGUGCGUAGGCGGCCCUUUAAGUCGGAUGUGAAAGCCCGCGGCUUAACCGCGGAAUGGCAUUCGAAACUGGAGGGCUUGAGUGUCGGAGAGGGUAGUGGAAUUCCCAGUGUAGCGGUGAAAUGCGUAGAUAUUGGGAGGAACACCAGUGGCGAAGGCGACUACCUGGACGAUAACUGACGCUGAGGCACGAAAGCUAGGGGAGCAAACAGGAUUAGAUACCCUGGUAGUCCUAGCCGUAAACGAUGGGUACUAGGUGUGGGUGGUUUCGAUACCAUCCGUGCCGUAGUUAACGCAUUAAGUACCCCGCCUGGGGAGUACGUGCGCAAGCAUGAAACUCAAAUGAAUUGACGG